UACGUAGGGUGCAAGCGUUAAUCGGAAUUACUGGGCGUAAAGCGUGCGCAGGCGGUUGGUUAAGUCUGAUGUGAAAGCCCCGGGCUCAACCUGGGAAUGGCAUUGGAAACUGGUCAGCUGGAGUGUGGCAGAGGGGGGUGGAAUUCCGCGUGUAGCAGUGAAACGCGUAGAGAUGCGGAGGAACACCGAUGGCGAAGGCAGCCCCCUGGGCCAACACUGACGCUCAUGCACGAAAGCGUGGGGAGCAAACAGG
rnacentral:rRNA from 1 species